rnacentral:lncRNA from 1 species
UCCUCGGGUCGGCGCCUCGCUGCCAGAAGCCCCCCCAGAGCGGGCUCCGUCCAAAGCAGCCACCGCCGCGGCUCUCGGCAGCGAAGGACAGUUUCCCGGCGGUGCCCCGAGGGACAGCGUAUGCCCUGACACCCAAGUCUUGCCCGACCGCUUGAAAGGCCCUCAGCCGGCGAAGAAGAUGGUGGUAGGCAGGUAGAGAGAAGCUCCCCUUUCUCGCAAGGCCUCGAGUGCGCCGAAGUGACUGAGCCCUCAGAGACAAGGCCCUGCUGGGCGCAGCAGAGAGCCAGACCCGCAAAAGCGCGCGCUUGGGGCCUAGCAAACGCCUCCGAGCCUCGUCGUGGCACUUGCUUUUGCGCGCUGCUGAGACGCUGAGCGCAACUCAGGGUGGCUUUGCCCUCCAUUUCCUCCCGUCUUCGAUUUCCUCUCCCUAGGGUCCAGUCAGUGCUGGAUUUACCUAUAAGCUAAACAAGCUAUAGCAUAGGGCCCCACUCUCUUGGGGACCCCAAAAAGAUUUAAAGAAGAAAAGACCACUGGAUGUACAUUUCCAAAAUAUAAGAUAAAACCUACACACAGCAACAGUGGCAAAUAGCCUUAUAUACCUGUUAGGUCCAUAAAUUACCACAUAGCGUAUAUUCAACGCAAAAACUGACAAUUUGUUGUUGACAAAGGACAGCUGGACAUAUAAAGGGCCCCACUACCUUCAGUAGUUUAGGGCCUCACCAAACCUAAAUCUGGCCCAGGGUCCAGUCCAUGGGUGUAGCCAAGGCGAGUAGGGAGAGGCAGCUAAAAAAUGAAUAAAAAUAUAUGAUAAACUGAGGUUCUCCCCCACAACAAAAGGCCUGCCCCCCCAAUCCUGGCUAUCGCCAUGGGCCAGUUGCUUAAAAUAAGAGCAUCCUUGCCACUGACUUUCAUUGGGUGGUAACAUGGGAUUUUUGUUAGGAGGGAGCAGGACUUCUGUUGGGGGUGGGCAGGGCAGAACUGAAGUGAUUGGUCAAUUAGUUAUAUAUUUCUAUUGUUUUACUUGAUCUUGGGGGGAGCAGCUGUCCCCUGCACCCCCGUUGGCUACGCCCAUGGGUGGGAACGACAUCCUUACACACCCCCCCCAUCUAAAAUAAGUUAAGGGAGGCAAACUUCACUGAGCCUAACAGGCAACCAAUGCUCACACAUUUAAGACAAAUUCUCAACUCAGUUGCCAAAAGAGGGUUAGCGAAUUAAGCAAAACCAUGUCCACUAGAAAACAUACUGGAAGAGUAGCAAACAGUUAAAGUGUCUUGGUAGUAUCAUUUCAUAAAUUUCCAAGCCCUCCUUACGUGCAAAAAGGUCUAUUAGAGCAAACUGCUAGAGAAUAAUGAAGUUUGGGGGUACACAGGAAAUAAAAAAUGCAGGCACAUUUCUCUGGUUUAUAUAAAAUACAUCACAUUUGAUCAUUGGAAAGGUGGGGAUGCACUGUCUGAGCAGCUUCAAGAUAAGGAAAUUGAACUGGCACACGCAUCUAUGAACAGCUUCUGGUUGGAAUCAAGGGAAAACCCGGGUUCUGCUGUUUCUAAAUACAAUAAACACUACAGUAUUAGUUCCAAUGCAGAGUAUAUGACCAAGAUGAUCUUCCACCUUCUAGGCGCCACUACUGGAGGUCUCAGGAACACUAAAGGAAAGCGAGAAGUAGGAAAGUCUUGACAGUCUUGACAACACAAUUGGGAAUGAAAGGGGGAAAUAUAGAGGUGGGAGUCCAAGGCCUAGUGGAACUUAUUUAAGCAUGUAUAAGAUUGCCUGGUUGCAGAACUCCAAAAUGGAAGUGAAGAGUUUCCUCUUCGGAGUAGAGUGCCCCCUGUGCUUGUCUCACCAGCUAACUUAUAGCUUCUGAAAUGUGAGCGGGGAUGAAUAUGGAUUCAGUUGUGAGCUGAAUGGUACCCUAUUUGAUCCAUCCGCCAUCUGAAAUCAUCACCCAAGGCCUUUCUCUAGGUGACCCCAUGGUCUGAAGUGCUGCUGAUGGCAACUGAAGAGAGCCUUUGCUAUUGCGAAUCCCUUAUCUUUCAAUAAAUAAUAAUAAUUAUUAUAUUGGGGUCAGCGUGGAAAUGUCCUUUAGGUGCCAGGGAAAAAACACUUCUGUAUUCUUAAACUUUUAAGAACUAAGAAUGUAUGCAGUUAACUUGGAACAGCUGAUUUUGGUGUCUGUUUGAAUAAGUUGCUGCUGUUUGAGUUUGUUAUUUUAAUUUAAUUGUUGGAUAGUAGUUAGUGUGUUGGACUAGGAAACUGGGAGACCCGGGUUCAAAUCCCCCACUCAGCCAUGAAGCUCACUGGGUGAUCUUGGGCCCAUCAUUGUGUCUUAGCCUAAUCUACUUCACAGGGUAGUUGUGAGGAUAAAAAGGAGAGAAAUAUGUAUUCCACCUUGAGCUCCUUAAAGGAAAUGUGGGAUAUAAAUAUGACAGCUAGAGAGAUAGAUACAGCAGGAUUAUGGAGCAGGAUUUCUAAGUCAAAGUGUGUGAUCUGAGACCAAGUCCCUUUCAUUUGAGAAAUCAAGCAAGGUGUGCAAGUCUUGGUCUGUUUCAGUCUUUGCAACAACAAUCAGCUAUCCUGCACAUGUGAUGAACACAUCACAAGACUGGGCUUUAUCUGGAUUCCCCACCACAAUCCACUCUCGGGGUCUGACACCGUAAAAUAUUCUUUUGUUCCUGGAAUCCAGAUGACUGAAGGCCCAGCCAAGGUGCUAAAGUGUCUCCUCCAAGUUGCUGAAUUUCUUUGCUCCCCCUGGGACUUUAUCUGGCUUAAAUGCAUAAAUGCAAAGGGAAUUAAGGUCCUCAGCAAGUUGCAAGAUUUGAAGCUAACUAGAAGGGAACUCGAGAAAAGGAUAUCAGGAUCCUUCAUGGAUUAUGUUUUGGGUGUGGAGAAGAGGCUUAGAGUGGCUCCAUGCUAGUCCCCAGUAUCUUGAAUGUUAAUACUUUUGCCUAAUGUUACCUGCAUAGGUGCCUCCUGAGAGUUAAGAUUAGAAGAAAGAACAUUUGGGAAGGGAAUUGAGAGAAGAAAAACCUAACAAAUACUUUCAGAAGGUCAAAUGAUAAGGACUACCUUGUUAAGCUCAUUGGGGCUUUGGUUACGUGUCAGAUAUGGCUGCAAAUAUGUUCAUUCCCUUGUGCAGAGAAGGAGAAAGGAGCUUAUUACAUUUCAGCUCUUUCACCAGAGUUUAUAGAACUUUAAGUGAGGACUAACCCAAUGCCACAAUAGUGCAAUACCUUCAUGAGGGUCAACUCAAAACCCCAAAAUGAUAAACAAUCUUUUGAGUUCUCCAGAAUAACAGGCUGGAUGCUAAGC